AUAAAGACACAGUCAUGGUCUCAUGGAUGACUGAAGUCAGGGAUCUUUAAACUAAUGGUAUAGUGUGUUUCAUCGACAUUACAACAACAUUUAGUAGGAUAGGCGUGGUAUGGUAUGCAGCAGUGGUGUCAUGCGUUAACCAUUUUAUGUAAAAAGGAAAUCAUUUUGGAUUAUUUCACCAAGAAUAAGAGGAAGUUAUUCCAUGCUGGGAAAACAGACAUGCAUUUUCUCCCCCAAAUGUUCCAGCUAUCUGCAUAGUGAAAAUCGUACACUUUUCAAUAUCCUUGCUUCCCUACUCAAUGUCCCGCCACAGUAAAGGAGCUUCAUCGAUUCACUUGUUCUACUCUCCAGUGAAGAAGAAGCUUCUGUAUGGUGGUGGGGGAUGGGGAGGAGUACACCCCAACAACCACAGGCCUCGCUCUGGAUAUGUGAGAGAAGAUAGAUUGGCCUGAAAGCCUGCUUCCUGGGGCCUACAUUUUACUGACAUAGAAGCCUCUGACAGCUAAAAGCUGGAACCUUCUCAGUUGCCGCAGCGACCCAGGCCUGACAGUCUAUAAAUGUGAGGUUAUGGUGGAUCCAUGAGUGUCUCCUUUCAGCCCAACACUGAGUCUGUGUCCUAAUGGGUCAUGGUCAAAAGUAGUGCACUAAAUAAAGAGAGGGAGGGUUGGAAAAGUGCAGUCACUGUGACGUGUGGCCUGCAGAGGCAUGUACUCUAUGUACUGUAGAUAGUCAAACUAUUCCCUGGCUCACCGCCACAUCACAGAGACCCCCCACAGUUUGACAAAAGAGGACACUCAGAGGAUGAGUCCCAAAUGGCACCCUAUUCCCUAUACAAUGCUCUACUUUUGACCAGGGCCCGUAGAGUGAACUAUGUAGGGAAUAGGGUGCCAUUGGGGACACAACAAGCAUAUCUCUCCAGGAAUAGCUGGCCAAUUCAAUAGGACAGGGCCUCUUAAGGCAGAAUCCAAUUCAAAUAGCGGCUACCUCGCAUAAGAUAGAGAGAAUACCGAGAUGUUAAGCCUACUCAUUCAUCAUAAUGUAGCAAACAUUUACAGAGUGAAAAUGUUAAUAUGACAUCUUUAUAACUACAUGUAAACCUUAACAUAGUUCACAUUGUUUGUUUGGACUGACACACACACACACACACACACACAUGCACACGUUGAUUAUGUUUGAAUGAGGGACAACUUCUUUUUCGGUCCUUUAUGUCGGUUGGACAAUCAGAACCCAUUGGCUUGCAUAACGCAGUUCAACCUUUACGUUGUAUAAUGCACAGUUAUUUGCCUUUCUGCAAAAGUUAAACACGGGUUCUGCUUCAGUGAAGCCAUGGUCAAGGUUAGCUAGGCUACACUAACCAGCUUUGUCUGUCCAUGACUAUGGUGUAGGGGCUUGUCCACCCAUUUGCGUCAGAUCCUCACAUGGGAGCUUUGAGUUUUGUGAUGUAAGUACCCAUAUUGAAAUAUAAUUAUUAUACCAUGUCAGUCAUAUUGUGUGUACCCAUUAGUGUUCCGGUCGAAUUGCUGUGGUCUAAGGGUCAUUGUCCCUUCUGGUAAUCCUAUUUCUAUGCAUACCACUUCCCCUGGUGUGUAUAAUAUGUAUAGAGUGUGAUAUACCACUAGAUAGCUUCUGUGUAUGUUUAAGGGGGCAAGCCAAGCCUUAAUGGUUCAGAAAACCGCCCUCUUAACCACAGUUCCAGACCAGAACUACUGUGUAUAGCCUAGUCAGACAAAAUGAUUCCCUUUUAUCAUCUCCACUUCACCCAGCUGUUGCGUAACAUUCAAUCUAAUCAAAGCUGUCACUGAAACGUUCACGAGAGUAGAGGGAGAGGGGAAAACUGUGGAAACACGAUAUAGAUCAGUUGAUGUGGAUCCCAGGCACCUCAUGGAAACAUUGACAGAGAAAAUAUAUCUAAACAUUUGCCCUUGGUUGGAUGGGAGACUUUCAUGAUAAACAAACCUAGAACGUAAGUGCCUGUUGGGGAAACAUUUAGCUAAUCUCCAUGCUGGAUAACAGGCGCAGAGAUGACGAUGAUGAUGGUCUUGGGUGAGGCUGGAGAUGUGGGUUGGCGGUAGUCAACUUGAUUUGCCAAUUGUGUUUAGUAUGUGUACUUUGAGAAAAGAUCAUUCAUGCAUGAAAUAAUCGUCUGACUUGUCAUAUUGGGCACAUCAAAGGAGGUACCUAAAAGACCAUGUGACAAUGACCCUGUUUGUUAUCAGGUUUGACAAUAGAUUUUAAGAGCAAAUCCUUAUUUUAUCUCCAUUGGAUUAUACUUCAUGGUCAUUUAAUGCCAUUCUGUAAAAAAAAUGUUUGGUAUUAUACAAGCAAGCAAAGAACAAUCGGUACCAAGGGUCUGUUCUGAUUUUAAUUAUGAUAGGUCUACAGAUUUCAUCCAUUUUCCUUAUUGCCAUUGGAAGUGAACCAUUUGUCUUCAGGGCACAGCGGGGAACCUGGCAAGGCGCUUCGGCAGAUUUCUUUUUCUUUUUUCACACUGAUCCAUAACAAUAGAAUUUUGAAUAGUUGGAUUUUUGAUUUCAAAUGAAUAUGCAAACUUAAACUCUCCUUCUCACAGUGGGCCAGAAAGCUGUGUGUGUGUGUGUGUGAGAGACUGUGUUUGUUUGCACUUGUGUGACUGUUUGCAUGCACGUGUUUGUUACAGCUAUCGUUUUAUAAGAGAUCACUUGAGAACAUGAGUGAUGAGGCUGCGAGACUCACACCAUAGGGUGAGUUUCUUUGGAUUAUUCAGUAAACAUAUUGGUCUAGUCACAGUGUUCGUGCAAUGCUCCGCCAAUGUAGUAUAAUAUUAGAUUGUGCUUUUAGACUCCAGAGUAGGCCAUAAACAUCAGAAUGUACCACUCCUUUGGAGACAGCAAAUCUAGACCAACAUAUUUGGCUCUCAUUGAUUGGUGGUUGUAUGCAUUUGGUUUUGUAACUUCAACAAGGGACCAAUGCUAAGACCAGGGUCAUGUGAAGUUGGCUGAAACUGGGAGGGACGACCUGGACUGAAGAGCGUCUGCUAAAUCAAUUACCUGCCCUGCACAGAAUACCAUUGUUCCCCGGUCAACCGGGGCUCCCCUCCUUGACUCACCAUAUGGCUUUGGCUAAAGAUGGCGUCAUCAGGAUCAGGGCAUGGACGCCUUGCAGACAGUGUUUUCUCUCUUCACACCUGUGUUAAUUUAUGGUGUAGCCUCUCGUUUGAUCAACACAGAGAGACAAAGGCCAAACAAAGCUCUCAGGUACAGAGGCGAUGACUGUGUUUGAUGUUGCAGCUCUGGGCCAUUGUUUAAAGAAGAUGGAUUACCUAUGUUCCAUUCAUGAACACAUUCUGGCCCUUCUUAAAUGGGGACGUGCUGGCUAUAUGGCUCUGAGUUAUAAACGAUUUAGCCAAUGAAAACGCUCAAAUCAAAAGAAACUACUGGGCCUUAGCCUUAAUGACCUCACUGUUACGGUCUGGAGAAAAUGUGUUUGCAUUCAUGUUCAUGCUGAUGACACUAAUGUUAAAUGUUGACACUAACGCUGAGAAAUAGAAUGCAUUGCUAUGUAGUUCUAGUGUAUUGUACAGUUGUCAUAAACAUGCGUGAGCACCUUAUAAAGGCUUAUCAUCUCACAACGAUUCAAACUAUUAACAACCAUUGUGUCGUCGAGGCAAUCUCCUACAA